rnacentral:other from 1 species
GCGGAUCUGCUCGGUUCGUGUGCGGCCCUUUUCCAGUGGCCGAUAAGCAUUUCCGAGGGGGCUGGCUCUGCCGGGAUCCUGGUCCCGGUAUCUGGCGCCCACCUGAUACGUCAGGCUCUCGGGAAAUCACAGCCGCCACGGCUGCUGCGGUCCCCGC